GAUGAACGCUGACGGCGUGCCUAAUACAUGCAAGUCGAGCGCUAGCGUAAGGAGCUUGCUCCUUACAAUCGAGCGGCAGACGGGUGAGUAACACGUGGGCAACCUACCCUUUAGACUGGGAUAACUACCGGAAACGGUCGCUAAUACCGGAUAAGUUGGAUUACACAAGUAAUCUUAAUGAAAGGCGGAUUUAUCUGUCACUAAAGGAUGGGCCUGCGGUGCAUUAGCUAGUUGGUGAGGUAGUGGCUCACCAAGGCAACGAUGCAUAGCCGACCUGAGAGGGUGAUCGGCCACACUGGGACUGAGACACGGCCCAGACUCCUACGGGAGGCAGCAGUAGGGAAUCUUCCGCAAUGGACGCAAGUCUGACGGAGCAACGCCGCGUGAGUGAAGAAGGGUUUCGGCUCGUAAAACUCUGUUGUUAAGGAAGAACACUUUAGGUAGUAACUGGCCUAGAGAUGACGGUACUUAACCAGAAAGCCACGGCUAACUACGUGCCAGCCGCCGCGGUAUGAC
rnacentral:rRNA from 1 species